rnacentral:ncRNA from 2 species
GAUAUAAUACCAAAUGAAGGUGCGCAAUAGCGCAUAACAGGGAAUCGGGUGAAACUCCCGAGCGGUCGCGCCACUGUAUCGAUUUUGCGUGAGACAAGCUUUUGAGGCAGCCACUUCACUGCGGUGGGGGAAGGCGUUUCGCGCGUGGAAUCGCAAGCCAGGAGACCUACCUUCAAAUGCCACCAGAA